rnacentral:lncRNA from 1 species
GCCUGGAGUUUAACCCAGAGAAGUUGUGGAUCCUUAACAAAGCUUCUCAGCUGUCCAUUACUGCCAGGAGCAUCACCAACACUCCCAGCACCAGCAAGCAAUUAGGCAGUGGCAAUCCAGCACAGACAGAGAGAAUUGUCCCGAAAAAGGAACAUUCCCAGAGGCAGAAAAUCUGCAGCUCUUCGGGAUAAAGGAUUUGAAGGGGAUACAGACUCCUGCCUUGGAGAGAGAAGCUCAGAAAAGUUGCCCUGAAGACUCACUUUCAUUCCAGAGGGAAUUUUUCUGUCCACAGCAGCUUUUUGAUGCAAGGGAAUGACCUGGAAUAAUUUCUUGCCUGGCCACAGUGGCACUGACACACUCAAACUGCAGCCCUGGGUGGUGGCACCCAUCAGUGGCAAUGUGGUGGCAGUAACAGAGGGAAAAAUGUCCUCAAUUCUGCUCUAGAAUGAAAAGAUCCAGCCUUGCAGCUAAGAAAACCCCUGCCAGGAAAAAAAAUUAAAAAAAAAAAAUUAAAGAUCAUUUGAAACCAUUAAAGACCAUUUAAAGCAUUUUUAC